rnacentral:rRNA from 1 species
GGAGGAAAAGAAACCAACAGGGAUUGCCCUAGUAACGGCGAGUGAAGCGGCAAGAGCUCAAAUUUGAAAGCUGGCUCCUUCGGGGCCCGCAUUGUAAUUUGCAGAGGAUGCUUCGGGAGUGGCCCCCGUCUAAGUGCCCUGGAACGGGCCGUCAUAGAGGGUGAGAAUCCCGUAUGGGAUGGGGUGUCCACGCCCGUGUGAAGCUCCUUCGACGAGUCGAGUUGUUUGGGAAUGCAGCUCUAAAUGGGUGGUAAAUUUCAUCUAAAGCUAAAUAUUGGCCGGAGACCGAUAGCGCACAAGUAGAGUGAUCGAAAGAUGAAAAGCACUUUGAAAAGAGAGUUAAAAAGCACGUGAAAUUGUUGAAAGGGAAGCGUUUGCGACCAGACUCGCCCUCGGGGUUCAGCCGGCUUUCGGGCCGGUGUACUUCCCCGGGGGCGGGCCAACGUCGGUUUGGGCGGCCGGUCAAAGGCCCCUGGAAUGUACCGCCUCUCGGGGC